GACGAACGCUGGCGGCGUGCUUAACACAUGCAAGUCGAACGGAAAGGCUCUGCUUUUGUGGGGUGCUCGAGUGGCGAACGGGUGAGUAACACGUGAGUAACCUGCCCUUGACUUUGGGAUAACUUCAGGAAACUGGGGCUAAUACCGGAUAGGAGCUCCUGCUGCAUGGUGGGGGUUGGAAAGUUUCGGCGGUUGGGGAUGGACUCGCGGCUUAUCAGCUUGUUGGUGGGGUAGUGGCUUACCAAGGCUUUGACGGGUAGCCGGCCUGAGAGGGUGACCGGCCACAUUGGGACUGAGAUACGGCCCAGACUCCUACGGGAGGCAGCAGUGGGGAAUAUUGCACAAUGGGCGGAAGCCUGAUGCAGCAACGCCGCGUGCGGGAUGACGACCUUCGGGUUGUAAACCGCUUUCGCCUGUGACGAAGCGUGAGUGACGGUAAUGGGUAAAGAAGCACCGGCUAACUACGUG
rnacentral:rRNA from 1 species